rnacentral:lncRNA from 1 species
AUGUGUCAUAAAACAAAAGCUUCUUCCAGGUACAGUUAGCCGCCAUUUUUGACGGUCCCAAAGGUCAUUGAUUCCACCUCCUGGAAGUUUGCCAUUCCCACAUUGGACUUCGUCUAAUCUGGCAAAUGAAUCGAGACCUUUCGUCAAUUGGAUCCACUUGGAUGAGUGUGGGCAUAGAAACAAACGUCACCGACUCCCUGAACAACCAAUGCGUUGAAGAACCUG